CGGGGCUAUACAUGCAAGUCGAGCGGACAGAUGGGAGCUUGCUCCCUGAUGUUAGCGGCGGACGGGUGAGUAACACGUGGGUAACCUGCCUGUAAGACUGGGAUAACUCCGGGAAACCGGGGCUAAUACCGGAUGGUUGUUUGAACCGCAUGGUUCAAACAUAAAAGGUGGCUUCGGCUACCACUUACAGAUGGACCCGCGGCGCAUUAGCUAGUUGGUGAGGUAACGGCUCACCAAGGCGACGAUGCGUAGCCGACCUGAGAGGGUGAUCGGCCACACUGGGACUGAGACACGGCCCAGACUCCUACGGGAGGCAGCAGUAGGGAAUCUUCCGCAAUGGACGAAAGUCUGACGGAGCAACGCCGCGUGAGUGAUGAAGGUUUUCGGAUCGUAAAGCUCUGUUGUUAGGGAAGAACAAGUACCGUUCGAAUAGGGCGGUACCUUGACGGUACCUAACCAGAAAGCCACGGCUAACUACGUGCCAGCAGCCGCGGUAAUACGUAGGUGGCAAGCGUUGUCCGGAAUUAUUGGGCGUAAAGGGCUCGCAGGCGGUUUCUUAAGUCUGAUGUGAAAGCCCCCGGCUCAACCGGGGAGGGUCAUUGGAAACUGGGGAACUUGAGUGCAGAAGAGGAGAGUGGAAUUCCACGUGUAGCGGUGAAAUGCGUAGAGAUGUGGAGGAACACCAGUGGCGAAAGGCGACUCUCUGGUCUGUAACUGACGC
rnacentral:rRNA from 2 species